UACGUAGGGGGCAAGCGUUGUCCGGAUUUAUUGGGCGUAAAGAGCGUGUAGGCGGCCAGGUAGGUCCGUUGUGAAAACUCGAGGCUCAACCUCGAGACGUCGGCGGAAACCCUCUGGCUAGAGUCCGGAAGAGGAGAGUGGAAUUCCUGGUGUAGCGGUGAAAUGCGCAGAUAUCAGGAAGAACACCCGUGGCGAAGGCGGCACUCUGGGCCGGUACUGACGCUGAGGAGCGAAAGCGUGGGGAGCGAACAGG
rnacentral:rRNA from 1 species